rnacentral:rRNA from 1 species
UACGUAGGGUGCGAGCGUUAAUCGGAAUUACUGGGCGUAAAGCGUGCGCAGGCGGUCCGCUAAGACCGAUGUGAAAUCCCCGGCUUAACCUGGGAACUGCAUUGGUGACUGGCGGGCUGGAGUAUGGCAGAGGGGGGUAGAAUUCCGACGUGUAGCAGUGAAAUGCGUAGAGAUGUGGAGGAAUACCGAUGGCGAAGGCAGCCCCCUGG